rnacentral:rRNA from 1 species
UACAGAGGGGGCGAGCGUUGUUCGGAAUUACUGGGCGUAAAGGGCGCGUAGGUGGAUCUAUAAGUCAGGAGUGAAAGCCCCGAGCUUAACUUGGGAAGUGCUUUUGAUACUGUAGAUCUUGAAUGUGGGAGAGGAUCGUGGAAUUCCAGGUGUAGUGGUGAAAUACGUAGAUAUCUGGAGGAACACCGGUGGCGAAGGCGGCGAUCUGGCCCAACAUUGACACUGAGACCCGAAAGCAUGGGGAUCAAACAGG